AUGAUUAACCUUUUUUUCUCAACUUGCAGAUGAAUGCUGAGAAAUUCUGUAGUCUGAAUGAAGUGCACUUUAAUGAAACAAAUACAAAGCUAGAAGAGUUGACUCGGUUGUCAAAUACCCUGAAAGCACAGAAGACAAAGCUACAGCAUGAAAAUGCUAAGUAAGUCCCUGAAGAAGCUGGAAGAAAAAGAGUCUCUGAUAAAACAACUUCCCAGGGGAAAUAGCCACUUCACUCAGCAAAUUGAAGAACUGAGAGGGCAGCUAAAAGAGUGAGACCAGAGUAAGGCAUAUAUUAUUUCUC
rnacentral:lncRNA from 1 species